GCACAGCAGGCAUAUGAAAUGCAGAGGAAUACUUCAGGACACAGGCGUGGAUGGAGAUAGGAGAACCUUGAGGACGAAAGUCACGCUAAGGAGAAGGGAAAUCUGAGAAACUCAGGCUGUGUCUAAGGGUGACCAAGUACAGAGCCAGGAACAGGCUGAGCCUUUCAGUCACCAUGGAAUCACUCCACCUCACUCAGAAGCCUCCUUAAAUUCAUAUUAGUCAACUCCAGCAUAUUUUGGCAUCUGAAAGAUUGGACAACAGUUUAAGGGCCUGAACAAGAUGGAUGCCUCCCAGCUUUGUGUGCAGCGAUGGCUUCAGGGUUGGAGGAGAGAAGCCACAUCCAUUCUGAUGAACGGAGACAGUGGAAGCCUUGAUAUGGAGGUGGGCAUCUGGUGUGAUGUCCAUCUCCCGGGAGCCAAAGUAACAUUAACAAUG